AAAUGUCUCUUUGCUCGAUUUCUUUUCUGCAGUACCACUUGUUUGCUCUCUUCCUUCUCUGUAAAAUUCUCAAUGUUCUUUCCGGUCGAAAAUCUCAAAUGUCUCAAAUCUAUCUACUCAAAUCACAAAAUGUGAACCAUAUGGUAGAGAUUCAAAAGCCCUAAUUACAAAUUGUGACUCCAUCAGAGGAACCGACAGUGGUCUAAAGCUAAAGAAGGAAGGAGGAAAGUCUGAAGUUUGAAAAUCAUUACGAGGACUCAGAUUGCUAGAAGAACGUGAACAAAUGGCUAAGGAGUUGCAAAGGAAUAUAGAACAUAGUUGCAAAGGAAGUUGGAAAAAGAGUUGCAAAAGAAGUUGGAGGAUGUGCAUGAACACGUGAACGCAGAAGUAGAUAAGAGGAUCCAAGAGCAAUUGGCUACUAUCAUAGCCAAAAUGCAACAUCCAGCAUUUUGCUCGAGCUACUGCGGCUGCUGCUUCCAACAGGUAAUGUGUGCCCUUCUUCUCUCUUAAAAUUAACUUGGUUUUUCAUAGUUUAGCUUCUAAUUCUAAUGUGGGGGUUAUUCUAUUGAACUAAUUAAUUGUUUAAAUCACUCCAAAAGAAUUGAGAGGAAGUGAUUUUCGUGGAUUCUUGAAUUUUUUGUAUUUUAGCUUCCCAGAAUCUUCAAUUAAUUAUCUUAUUUGGGGGUUAAUUUAUUGUAGAUUUUGCUGUUGUAUUAAUCUUGGUGGCAAUACUAUAUGUGUGAUAAAUCUUUACUAGAGUUGUGGUUGCGCUUGAAUAAGAUUUUCGAUUUAUUUAUAUUAUUUGUUAUUUUGAUGAUGGUGUAUUCAGGCCAGCUAGUACGUAUCUUGAAUUUUAUUGGGUACUUAUUAUCUCCCAUCAACAUAUGUAUCGGGUAACUCUGUUCACCAAGGCUUCGACGUAUGGAAAAAAAUUUACCCAUUUUUUUUUGUUUUCUCUAAGAUUUGAACGUGAGACCUUAUGGUUCUCGUCGCACUUCAUUGACCACUAAAAUCAGAUUCACGAUUUAUGAAGUGACUGCCAAAUGAAUAUGCGAAGGAGGCAAUCUCUUUUGGUUCUGAUUUUAUGGUUUGUCGAAAGAGAAGUAGUUGUAGUUAGUGUAAAAACUUGACAGGAAAGUAGUUUUGGUUUGUUUUUAAUGAAUAAAACUGAUUGGAUUAAUCAUGUUGUUACAAGGAGUUCUUUUAUACAUCUAUUGAUAUUUAAGGCUAGUGGUGAAAAAAGUUUGUUUAUCGAUGAUUCCACGAAAAUAUCAUAUUAUCUUCUACCUAUGCGCGUGCAAUAAUUCUACUAGUUUUUGCUUGUGAGUUACCACUGUCGUUCUACGGUUGUUUCUUCAGAGAUUUAUAGAAGUGCGUUGUCCUUAACAUUGGUAACCUGUUGUACAUUUCAACCUAGAGACAUAAGUUCUGAUUUUCUACUUAUUAUUUCGCUGAACUUACUUUUCUUUGAUCAUGCAACUCCUCAUGACUAGGAGACCUCUCUACUACAUGAACUUUUGUAGUAUUUAAAAAUUUGACAUCUAUUGGUAUGAAAUCUCCUCUUACAACCAAAAUGUCUCCGUCAAAAUAGAUAUUGAACCAUUUGUUUGAAUUAUUAACAUACAUAUCAUACCCAUUUGACAUGGAAGUGUCAAGCCAGGUGAUGAGUAAAUGCAAUAGAAAAUUAAAGGUGAAGCUAGUUCUAAAGGUAUUUUGAUGACAAGACAUAGAGGCUUAUUGCUGCUAAUUCUUAAGAUCUACAUUCUCCUAUUUCAUUGCACUUCUUAUAUUUCAUGGAUGCAGUUCCUUUUUGGUAGUGAGGGGUGGGUUGGUUUAGUUUUAUUGAUAUAUACUCAUUUAUGUUUGAUCAAUUUUAGUUUUGUGGGACGACAAUAGCAUUUAUAUCUAGAACUCAGCCUAUGGCACAUGGAACAUGUCAACUCAAGAUAAACCAGUAAGAGUUCAGGUUAUUAUGUACAGUUCAGGUUAUUAUGUACACAGUUCGUAACAACAGAAAAAAUGGUGUUGGAUGACUAAAUGCUAUUUUCCCACUAUACUAUGUUGACAAGAGUGGGUUGCUCUAGUGGUGAGCACCCUCCACUUCCAGAAAAAAUGGUGUUGGAUGACUAAAAUCUACUGCCACUUUGAGAAUGCAAAACUAUUUAAGAUAUUAUUUAUGUGGAAAUGCAAAAGUGUCUUUUAACUUAUAACACAGCGUCCAUGUAACUAAAUAGUUCAUCUUGUUGGAAUUUUUGUUCUUUGUUGGAUUUUGAUCUUUUAUUUUUUCCUCUUGAAAACAGGGACAAGGUUCUUGAACAAUCACAAAUGACGAUGAUCAAGGAGUUUAAAGACAUUUAAUGUUUAGUUUUUUCUUUUUUUUUUUUUUGUGGUCAAAAGGCAUCGACCAAGGAGUAGUUUAAAGUGUGAAGACAUUUAAUGUAUUGUUUUUCCUUUGCCAUGUGUAAAUGCAUACAAUGGCAAAAACAAGAAAGUAUUGGGCAGUGUAUUAGCUAAUUGACUAUAUAGUAA